GACGAACGCUGGCGGCGUGCUUAACACAUGCAAGUCGAACGGGCCCGCCCCUGUUUUUGGGGGUGGGUUGAGUGGCGAACGGGUGAGUAUCACGUGAGUAACCUGCCCCCUGCUCCUGGAUAACUGCUUGAAAGGGCGGCUAAUACGGGGUGUGCCGGCUGGUCCGCAUGGGCCUGGUCGGGAUAGUUUCAUCUUCGGGUGUUUCGGUGGGGGAUGGGCUCGCGGCCUAUCAGCUUGUUGGUGGGGUGAUGGCCCACCAAGGCGGUGACGGGUAGCCGGCCUGAGAGGGUGGGCGGCCACACUGGGACUGAGACACGGCCCAGACUCCUGCGGGAGGCAGCAGUGGGGGGUAUUGCACAAUGGGCGGAAGCCUGAUGCAGCGACGUCGCGUGAGGGAUGGAGGCCUUCGGGUUGUGAACCUCUUUCUCCGGUGGUGAAGGCCCUGUCCGUUGCGGCGGGGUUGACGGUAGCCGGGUAUGAAGUGCCGGCUAACUACGUG
rnacentral:rRNA from 1 species